AUCUUGAAGUCAGGGGGCAGCAGCCUGACGUUGGAGACGGCGAUGUGGCCUGUAUCCCCAUCGUCAAAUUCCACCACUACUGAGUCCAGGUCCUCAUCUUCGUCACCGGAGGCCCCUGUGGACGGCACACCUGAGCUUGCAGCUGGAACCCCCGUAGGCGCAGACCCGCGUGCCGGGCGGGAGGUACCGGCUGGACUGUGGCCGCACAUCGAGAACCUGCAGGAACGCGGGCGACGACCCAUGAGCAGGUGG
rnacentral:lncRNA from 10 species